UGGGUCCCAUCGCGCAUCCAUGCCCAUGCCGAACUCAGUAGUGAAACGAAAUAGCGCCGAUGAUAGUGUGGGGUUUCCCAUGUGAAAGUAGGACAUUGCCAAGCG
rnacentral:rRNA from 1 species